rnacentral:rRNA from 1 species
AGUGAACGCUGGCGGCAGGCCUAACACAUGCAAGUCGAGCGGCAGCGCGGGGGCAACCCUGGCGGCGAGCGGCGGACGGGUGAGGAAUGCAUCGGAAUCUACCUCGUUGUGGGGGAUAACGUAGGGAAACUUACGCUAAUACCGCAUACGACCUACGGGUGAAAGUGGGGGACCUUCGGGCCUCACGCGAUGAGAUGAGCCGAUGCCGGAUUAGCUAGUUGGCGGGGUAAAGGCCCACCAAGGCGACGAUCCGUAGCUGGUCUGAGAGGAUGAUCAGCCACACUGGAACUGAGACACGGUCCAGACUCCUACGGGAGGCAGCAGUGGGGAAUAUUGGACAAUGGGCGCAAGCCUGAUCCAGCCAUGCCGCGUGUGUGAAGAAGGCCUUUUCGGUGUAAGCACUUUGUUGGGUAGAACGA